rnacentral:rRNA from 1 species
UUGUAAUGUGAGCAGCCUGGGUGCGUCAGUGCAGGUAAGUGACAUGAAAAUGUUCGCCGUGGAGGGUGAGAGCCCCGUCCAACCUGCACAGGGCGUGCCGUACAGGGCUGUCUCGAAUGAGUCGGGUAGCUUGGGAAUGCUGCUCUAAGAUCGGUGGUAAAUUUCAUCGAAGGCUAAAUACUGCUGGAAGACCGAUAGUGAACAAGUACCGUGAGGGAAAGAUGAAAAGCACUUUGAAAAGAGGGUGAAAAGAAUCUGAAACCGUUGUGAGGGAAGCGGAUUGCGUUGCAGUAACUGUGGGCGCCGGUGUGUUCAGCCUGUUUCGGCGGGUGUAGUGGCACCGGUGGCUCCGUCUGCUGUGGGUUUGUGGUGGCUGAUUGCAAGGCUGCUGCGGACUGAGGGCUCCGUGCUGCUUUGCGGCGGCACGUGAGGACGGCAGGGUGACGACGCGAUACGACCCGUCUUGAAACACGGACCAAGGAGUCUAGCACAGCUGCGAGUCUGAGGGUGUCAAAGCCUGUGGGCGAAGUGAAAGCGAAAGAUGGCGGUAAUUCCAUAAUUUCAGAAUGACAAAGUUGUUGCAAUUUGGGG